rnacentral:rRNA from 1 species
UGCCUUCUCUUGAGAGCGGCGGACGGGUGAGUAAUGCCUAGGAAUCUGCCUGGUAGUGGGGGAUAACGCUCGGAAACGGACGCUAAUACCGCAUACGUCCUACGGGAGAAAGCAGGGGACCUUCGGGCCUUGCGCUAUCAGAUGAGCCUAGGUCGGAUUAGCUAGUUGGUGAGGUAAUGGCUCACCAAGGCGACGAUCCGUAACUGGUCUGAGAGGAUGAUCAGUCACACUGGAACUGAGACACGGUCCAGACUCCUACGGGAGGCAGCAGUGGGGAAUAUUGGACAAUGGGCGAAAGCCUGAUCCAGCCAUGCCGCGUGUGUGAAGAAGGUCUUCGGAUUGUAAAGCAC